rnacentral:rRNA from 1 species
AUUGAACGCUGGCGGCAGGCCUAACACAUGCAAGUCGAACGAGUGGCGGACGGGUGAGUAAUGCUUGGGAAUCUGGCUUAUGGAGGGGGAUAACUACGGGAAACUGUAGCUAAUACCGCGUACCAUCGGAUGUGCCCAAGUGGGAUUAGCUAGUGGGGGGGGUAAAGGCUCACCAAGGCGACGAUCCCUAGCUGGUCUGAGAGGAUGACCAGCCACACUGGAACUGAGACACGGUCCAGACUCCUACGGGAGGCAGCAGUGGGGAAUAUGGCACAAUGGGCGCAAGCCUGAUGCAGCCAUGCCGCGUGAAUGAAGAAGGCCUUCGGGUUGUAAAGUACUUUCAGUAGGGAGGCGUUAACUACAGAAGAAGCACCGGCUAACUCCGUGCCAGCAGCCGCGGUAAUUC